rnacentral:ncRNA from 1 species
GAAAAAGUGUUGAAGAGAAGAGUAACUUUCUUAAGGCUUACAGCGAAUCCCGUAGAGUGUGAGGGGAUAAGGUGAGAGAUUGUGAAAAGAACCUCAGAGCUUAUAGGUCGAUACAAGGAGACUUAUACGGGCACUCCCGUUACAGAGUUAGAGUAUGUUAGUACUUGAAGAGGUCUAUUUUGUGAGAAAUAGAUGAAUAUGGGUGGUAUCACGAGUCUUCGUCCCUUUU